rnacentral:rRNA from 1 species
CCUACGGGUGGCAGCAGUGGGGAAUAUUGCACAAUGGGGGAAACCCUGAUGCAGCAACGCCGCGUGAGUGAAGACGUAUUUCGGUAUGUAAAGCUCUAUCAGUAGGGAAGAAGACAGACGGUACCUGAUUAAGAAGCCCCGGCUAACCACGUGCCAGCAGCCGCGGUAAUACGCAGGGGGCAAGCGUUAUCCGGAUUUACUGGGUGUAAAGGGAGCGUAGACGGCUGUGCAAGUCUGAAGUGAAAGCCCGUGGUUCAACCGCGGAACUGCUUUGGAAACUGUAUAGCUAGAGUACUGGUGAGGCAGGCAGAAUGCAUAGUGUAGCGGUGAAAUGCGUAGAGAUUA